UGGAUCCAGACUUUGAUCAUGGCUCAGGACGAACGCUGGCGGCGUGCUUAACACAUGCAAGUCGAACGGAGCACCCUUGAAAGAGUUUUCGGACAAUGGAUAGGAAUGCUUAGUGGCGGACUGGUGAGUAACCCGUGAGGGACCUGCCUUCCAGAGGGGGACAACAGUUGGAAACGACUGCUAAUACCGCAUAAUGUGUUUUGAUGGCAUCAUCGGGACACCAAAGAUUUAUCGCUGGAAGAUGGCCUCGCGUCUGAUUAGAUAGUAGGCGGGGUAACGGCCCACCUAGUCGACGACCAGUAGCCGGACUGAGGGGUUGACCGGCCACAUUGGGACUGAGAUACGGCCCAGACUCCUACGGGAGGCAGCAGUGGGGAAUAUUGGGCAAUGGGCGCAAGCCUGACCCGGCAACGCCGCGUGGAGGAAGAAGGCUUUCGGGUUGUAAACUUCUUUUAAGAGGGAGGAGAAGAAGACGGUACCUCUUGAAUAAGCCACGGCUAACUACGUGCCAGCAGCCGCGGUAAUACGUAGGUGGCAAGCGUUGUCCGGAUUUACUGGGUGUAAAGGGCGUGCAGCCGGGAGGACAAGUCAGAUGUGAAAUCCACAGGCUUAACUUGUGAACUGCAUUUGAAACUGUUUUUCUUGAGUACCGGAGAGGUCAUCGGAAUUCCUUGUGUAGCGGUGGAAUGCGUAGAUAUAAGGAAGAACACCAGUGGCGAAGGCGGAUGACUGGACGGCAACUGACGGUGAGGCGCGAAAGCGUGGGGAGCAAACAGGAUUAGAUACCCUGGUAGUCCACGCUGUAAACGAUCGAUACUAGGUGUGCGGGGACUGACCCCCUGCGUGCCGCAGUUAACACAAUAAGUAUCGCACCUGGGGAGUACGAUCGCAAGGUUGCAGCUCAAAUGAAUUGACGGA
rnacentral:rRNA from 1 species